rnacentral:lncRNA from 1 species
CGAAUUUCAGUGCCUAUCGGGCAGCCAGUGAACAUUUGUCCAUCUUUAAGGCAUUAAACUGAGAAGAACCACUGAGGAAAGCAUGCCACAGUCUUUCCCAAAAUCCCUGUGUCUUAAGGAACAACCAAGAAGUUAACUGGUCAGGGAAAAGAUUUCUUUUGGAACACAGAGAAUGAUGGGAGUUGUGAUCCAUACCUCCGUGUGCAUAAUGGUUGUACCUGCUCCAGGAAGGCGCUGGAUCCUCCCAACUCCAUGGGAAGAGAUUAGGACACAAACAACAGACAGAAGGUGACCACAGGAGGACACAGUGAGAAGCUGGCCAUCUGCAAGCCAAGGAGAGAGACCUCAGGAGAAACCAAACCUGCCAGCACCUUAAUCUUAGACUUCUAGCCCUCAGAACGGUGAGGAAAUAAAUCUCUGUUGUUCAUGCCACCCAGUCUGUGGUGUUUUGUUAUGGCCACUCUAGCAGACUAAUACACAUGGCACUGUCCCUGUGUGUCUGUAUCUCUUCUUAUAAGACCCACCCUUGGCUGGGCAUGGUGGCUCAUGCCUAUAAUCCCAACACUUGGGAGGCUAAGGAGGGCAGAUCUCUUGAGAUGAGGAGUUUGAAACCAGCCUGGCCAACAUGGUGAAACCUCAUCUCUACUAAAAAUACAAAAAUUAGCCAGGCGUGAUAGCAUGUGCCUGUAAUCCCAGCUACUUGGGAGGCUGAAGCAGGAGAAUUGCUUGAACCUGGGAGGUGGAUGUUGCAGUGAGCCA